rnacentral:tRNA from 1 species
GUUUUUAUGGUUGAAUUCAACAUUGGUUUUUCAAGCCAAAGGUCCUGGUUAAAGUCCUGGUAAAAAUA